AUUGAACGCUGGCGGCGUGCUUAACACAUGCAAGUCGAUCGGUAACAGGUGUAGCAAUACAUGCUGACGAGAGGCGGACGGGUGAGGAACGCUUGGGAAUCUGCCUAUCAGCGGGGGACAACCCGGGGAAACCCGGGCUAAUACCGCAUACGCUCUACGGAGGAAAGCCGGGGACCGCAAGGCCUGGCACUGAUAGAUGAGCCCAAGUCGGAUUAGCUAGUUGGCGGGGUAACGGCCCACCAAGGCGACGAUCCGUAGCUGGUCUGAGAGGACGAUCAGCCACACCGGAACUGGGACACGGUACGGACUCCUACGGGAGGCAGCAGUGGGGAAUAUUGGACAAUGGGGGAAAGCCUGAUCCAGCGACGCCGCGUGGGUGAAGAAGGCCUGCGGGUUGUAAAGCCCUUUCGGUAGGGACGAAAGCUCUCGACCUAACACGUCGGGAGGUUGACUUAACCUACAAAAGAAGCACCGGCUAACUCUGUGCCAGCCGCCGCGGUAACAC
rnacentral:rRNA from 1 species